AUUCCAGCUCCAAGAGCGUAUAUUAAAGUUGUUGCAGUUAAAAAGCUCGUAGUUGGAUUUCUGGUCUAAUGCGCCUGGCCCGCUGCCGUUAGGUAUGUGAGUGCCGGUGCGCGUUUACCAUCCUUCCAGAGAACACUUCUACCAUUUAUUUGGACGGAUGUUGUCUUCUGGAUCUUUUACUUUGAAAAAAUUAGAGUGUUUAAAGCAGGCCUUUGCUGUGAAUACAUUAGCAUGGAAUAAUAAUCUAGGACUUCGGUUCUAUUUUGUUGGUUUCUAGUACUGAAGUAAUGAUUGAUAGGGAUAGUUGGGGGUAUUCAUAUUUGAUUGUCAGAGGUGAAAUUCUUGGAUUUUUCAAAGAUGAACAAGUGCGAAAGCAUUUACCAAGGAUGUUUUCAUUA
rnacentral:rRNA from 1 species